GCUACGGGGUGCAGCAGUGAGGAAUAUUGGUCAAUGGACGAGAGUCUGAACCAGCCAAGUAGCGUGAAGGAUGACUGCCCUAUGGGUUGUAAACUUCUUUUAUAAGCGAGAAAUAUGAUGGUAACUUAUGAAUAAGGAUCGGCUAACUACGUGCCAGCAGCCGCGGUCAUACGUAGGAUCCGAGCAUUAUCCGGAGUGACUGGGUGUAAAGAGUUGCGUAGGUGGCAUAAUAAGUAGCUAGUGAAAUCUGGUGGCUCAACCAUUCAGACUAUUAGCUAAACUGUUAAGCUCGAGACCGUUAGGGGUAACUGGAAUUUCUAGUGUAGGAGUGAAAUCCGUAGAUAUUAGAAGGAACACCAAUAGCGUAGGCAGGUUGCUGGGACGAUUCUGACACUAAGGCACGAAAGCGUAGGGAGCAAACGGGAUUAGAUACCCCAGUAGUC
rnacentral:rRNA from 1 species